rnacentral:rRNA from 1 species
CAGUAGCCGCGGUAAUACGAAGGGGGCUAGCGUUGUUCGGAUUUACUGGGCGUAAAGCGCACGUAGGCGGAUCGAUCAGUCAGGGGUGAAAUCCUGGAGCUCAACUCCAGAACUGCCUUUGAUACUGUCGAUCUCGAGUCCGGAAGAGGUGAGUGGAACUCCUAGUGUAGAGGUGGAAUUCGUAGAUAUUAGGAAGAACACCAGUGGCGAAGGCGGCUCACUGGUCCGGUACUGACGCUGAGGUGCGAAAGCGUGGGGAGCAAACAGGAUUAGAUACCCCAGUAGUCCCUGUCUCUUAUAC